UACGUAGGGAGCGAGCGUUGUCCGGAAUCAUUGGGCGUAAAGAGCAUGUAGGUGGAUCAAUUAGUCUGCUGUGAAAGUCAAAGGCUCAACCUUUGAAAGCCGGUGGAUACUGUUGAUCUAGAGUACGGAAGAGGCGAGUGGAAUUCCUGGUGUAGCGGUGGAAUGCGCAGAUAUCAGGAGGAACACCAAUAGCGAAGGCAGCUCGCUGGGACGUUUACUGACACUGGAGGACGGAAGAACGUGGGGGAGCAAACAGG
rnacentral:rRNA from 1 species